rfam:Sphingobacteriales bacterium 40-81 SCNpilot_expt_1000_bf_scaffold_202, whole genome shotgun sequence.
AAGAGCCGUAUGACGGGAGACUGUCACGUACGGUUCUGUGAGAGGCUUGGGCUGAAAUGCCCUUGCCUACUCGAC